rnacentral:lncRNA from 1 species
AACAAUGGUUGGGUGUUUUGAGGAUGGGAUGUUUCGGUGGUCAUUGGUGGGUGAAAUUCUAGUUAUCAGACUUUAGAUGUCACACAGGUUGUUAUGACAUCCAAUUCUGCAUAGACAAGAAUUAUGCAGAACUUAAAAGUAAGUGCAGUAAAUAACACAAGCAAUUGUUUACCCAGUUCAGUCCAACAUGACCUACAUCUGG